ensembl:lncRNA
CCGGUCCACCCUGGGCCCCCAUUCCUGGUCCAGGGGGUCAGGUUACCCUCCGGUCCACCCUGGGCCCCCAUUCCUGGUCCAGGGGGUCAGGUUACCCUCCGGUCCACCCUGGGCCCCCAUUCCUGGUCCAGGGGGUCAGGUUACCCUCCGGUCCACCCUGGGGCCCCAUUCCUGGUCCAGGGGGUCAGGUUACCCUCCGGUCCACCCUGGGGCCCCAUUCCUGGUCCAGGGGGUCUGGUCCACGGCCUCUGGUCCAUCCUGGUGCCCCAUUCCUGGUCCACGGCCUCUGGUCCAUCCUGGUGCCCCAUUCCUGGUCCAGGGGGUCUGGUCCACGGCCUCUGGUCCAUCCUGGUGCCCCAUUCCUGGUCCAGGGGGUCUGGUCCACGGCCUCUGGUCCAUCCUGGUGCCCCAUUCCUGGUCAAGGGGGUCUGGUCCACGGCCUCUGGUCCAUCCUGGUGCCCCAUUCCUGGUCCAGGGGGUCUGGUCCUCAGCCUCUGGUCCACCCUGGUGCCCCAUUCCUGGUCCAGGGGGUCUGGUCCACGGCCUCUGGUCCAUCCUGGUGCCCCAUUCCUGGUCCAGGGGGUCUGGUCCACGGCCUCUGGUCCACCCUGGUGCCCCAUUCCUGGUCCAGGGGGUCUGGUCCUCAGCCUCUGGUCCACCCUGGUGCCCCAUUCCUGGUCCAGGGGGUCUGGUCCUCAGCCUCUGGUCCACCCUGGUGCCCCAUUCCUGGUCCAGGGGGUCUGGUCCUCAGCCUCUGGUCCACCCUGGUGCCCCAUUCCUGGUCCAGGGGGUCUGGUCCGCAGGCCCCGGUGCACCCUGGUGCCCCAUUCCUGGUCCAGGGGGUCUGGUCCACAGGCUCCGGUCCACCCUGGAGCCCCAUUCCUGGUCCAGGGGGUCUGGUCCUCAGCCUCUGGUCCAUCCUGGUGCCCCAUUCCUGGUCCAGGGGGUCUGGUCCUCAGCCUCUGGUCCAGGGGGUCUGGUCCACAGCCUCUGGUCCAUCCUGGUGCCCCAUUCCUGGUCCAGGGGGUCUGGUCCAUCCUGGUGCCCCAUUCCUGAUCCAGGGGGUCUGGUCCACAGCCUCUGGUCCAUCCUGG